rnacentral:rRNA from 1 species
GAUGAACGCUGGCGGCGUGCCUAAUACAUGCAAGUCGAGCGAACAGAUAAGGAGCUUGCUCCUUUGACGUUAGCGGCGGACGGGUGAGUAACACGUGGAUAACCUACCUAUAAGACUGGGAUAACUUCGGGAAACCGGAGCUAAUACCGGAUAACAUAUUGAACCGCAUGGUUCAAUAGUGAAAGGCGGCUUUGCUGUCACUUAUAGAUGGAUCCGCGCCGUAUUAGCUAGUUGGUAAGGCAACGGCUUACCAAGGCAACGAUACGUAGCCGACCUGAGAGGGUGAUCGGCCACACUGGAACUGAGACACGGUCCAGACUCCUACGGGAGGCAGCAGUAGGGAAUCUUCCGCAAUGGGCGAAAGCCUGACGGAGCAACGCCGCGUGAGUGAUGAAGGUCUUCGGAUCGUAAAACUCUGUUAUCAGGGAAGAACAAAUGUGUAAGUAACUGUGCACAUCUUGACGGUACCUGAUCAGAAAGCCACGGCUAACUACGUG